rnacentral:misc_RNA from 1 species
CAACGGCAAACUGGAAUUGAAAUCGGAAGAGAUAUGUGAAGGCGUAGAUAAUAUCGUAGAACCUGGUAUUACCGGAAAAGAUGAAAGAGAUGCUUCGGAGCCAUUAGCAACAUAGAAAGGUGAUUUUCUCAUAGAGAAAGUUGUGGUGAUGGUUGGUGGUGAGUGAUUCGCCGGCCACCGUGCCGGUGACGGUGGUGAUAGAACGGUGAUUUGUUUUUUGUGAUUCGUUGUUGGAAUUGCAUAAUUAUUUCGGGAGGCCGGAAAUGGCGGGUAGAGUUUGGGGAAAAACAGACAAAUUUGCAGAGAAUUUGAGUUUGAAGGAGAGAGAAGAAGAGUCAGAUAUUUUUGGUUAGUGGAUUUUGAGAAAUUUCCCCUGUUAGCUCGUUAUUCUA